AGAGUUUGAUCCUGGCUCAGGAUGAACGCUGACAGAAUGCUUAACACAUGCAAGUCUUUGGCGAAGCUGUGCUUGCACAGCCUAGCCAAGGCGGACGGGUGAGUAACGCGUAAGGAACUUGCCCUGCAGUCAGGGAUAACAGACGGAAACGACUGAUAAGACCUGGUAAAGUCAGGCGGACUCAUGUCCAGCCUGAUGAAAAGAGAUGCUGCAGGAGAGCCUUGCGUCCUAUUAGCUUGUUGGUGGGGUAACGGCCCACCAAGGCGAUGAUAGGUAGCCGGCCUGAGAGGGUGGACGGCCACAAGGGGACUGAGAUACGGCCCUUACUCCUACGGGAGGCAGCAGUGGGGAAUAUUGGACAAUGGGGGCAACCCUGAUCCAGCAAUUCUGUGUGCACGAUGAAGGUUUUCGGAUUGUAAAGUGCUUUCAGCAGGGAAGAAAAAAAUGACGGUACCUGCAGAAGAAGCGACGGCUAAAUACGUGCCAGCAGCCGCGGUAAUACGUAUGUCGCAAGCGUUAUCCGGAAUUAUUGGGCAUAAAGGGCAUCUAGGCGGCCAGAUAAGUCUGGGGUGAAAACUUGCGGCUCAACCGCAAGCCUGCCCUGGAAACUAUGUGGCUAGAGUACUGGAGAGGUGGACGGAACUGCACGAGUAGAGGUGAAAUUCGUAGAUAUGUGCAGGAAUGCCGAUGAUGAAGAUAGUUCACUGGACGGCAACUGACGCUGAAGUGCGAAAGCUAGGGGAGCAAACAGGAUUAGAUACCCUGGUAGUCCUAGCUGUAAACGAU
rnacentral:rRNA from 1 species